rnacentral:rRNA from 1 species
CCUACGGGUGGCAGCAGUGAGGAAUAUUGGUCAAUGGGCGCGAGCCUGAACCAGCCAAGUCGCGUGAGGGAAGACGGCCCUACGGGUUGUAAACCUCUUUUGCCGGGGAGCAACGGGCGCCACGUGUGGCGCCACUGAGAGUACCCGGAGAAAAAGCAUCGGCAAACUCCGUGCCAGCAGCCGCGGUAAUACGGGGGAUGCGAGCGUUAUCCGGAUUUAUUGGGUUUAAAGGGUGCGUAGGGGGAGCGUUAAGUACGUGGUCAAAUUGAGGGGCUCAACCCCUUACCGCCAUUGAAACUGGCGCUCUUGAGAGGAAGAGAAGUAUGCGGAAUGCGGGGUGUAGCGGUGAAAUGCAUAGAUAUCACGCAGAACCCCGAUUGCGAAGGCAGCAUGCCGGCUUCCGACUGACGCUGAAGCACGAAAGCGUGGGGAUCGAACAGGAUUAGAUACCCGGGUAGUC